CUCACACCAUCAGGUGCCUGACAUCAUGUACUGCAGUUGCCUUUUUGUUCCCAUGCUGUUUAAGCCCAGCAUAGGCACCAAAAAGCAACAACAGUAUAUGAAACUGAGACA
rnacentral:pre_miRNA from 1 species